UACGUAGGGACCAAGCGUUGUCCGGAAUCAUUGGGCGUAAAGAGCGUGUAGGCGGCUUGUUAAGUCUUGCGUGAAAUCUCGGGGCUCAACCCCGAGCGGUCGUGAGAAACUGGCAGGCUAGAGUGCGGGAGAGGAGAGUGGAAUUCCUGGUGUAGCGGUGAAAUGCGCAGAUAUCGGGAGGAACACCAAUGGCGAAGGCAGCUCGCUGGGACGUGACUGACGCUGAGACGCGAAAGCGUGGGGAGCAAACAGG
rnacentral:rRNA from 1 species